rnacentral:rRNA from 1 species
UACGGGGGGGGCAAGCGUUGUUCGGAAUUACUGGGCGUAAAGGGCUCGUAGGUGGCCAACUAAGUCAGACGUGAAAUCCCUCGGCUUAACCGGGGAACUGCGUCUGAUACUGGAUGGCUUGAGUUCGGGAGAGGGAUGCGGAAUUCCAGGUGUAGCGGUGAAAUGCGUAGAUAUCAGGAGGAACACCGGUGGCGAAGGCGGGUCUCUGGGCCGAUACUGACGCUGAGACACGAAAGCCAGGGGAGCAAACGGG